rnacentral:rRNA from 1 species
AUUGAACGCUGGCGGCAUGCCUUACACAUGCAAGUCGAACGGCAGCGCGGGUGCUUGCACCUGGCGGCGAGUGGCGAACGGGUGAGUAAUACAUCGGAACGUGCCCUAGAGUGGGGGAUAACUAGUCGAAAGAUUAGCUAAUACCGCAUACGAUCUACGGAUGAAAGUGGGGGACCGCAAGGCCUCAUGCUCCUGGAGCGGCCGAUGUCUGAUUAGCUAGUUGGUGGGGUAAUAGCCUACCAAGGCGACGAUCAGUAGCUGGUCUGAGAGGACGACCAGCCACGCUGGGACUGAGACACGGCCCAGACUCCUACGGGAGGCAGCAGUGGGGAAUGUUGGACAAUGGGGGCAACCCUGAUCCAGCAAUGCCGCGUGUGUGAAGAAGGCCUUCGGGUUGUAAAGCACUUUUGUCAGGAACGAAACGGUGGGGGCUAAUACCUCCUGCUAAUGACGGUACCUGAAGAAUAAGCACCGGCUAACUACGUGCCAGCCGCCGCAGUAA